AGGGGUGUAGUUCAGUGGUGGGGCAUCUGCUUUGAAUGCAGAAGGUUGCAGGUUCACUCCCCAGCAUCUCCA